GGUUGCACAAUCCCGGGGCAGAACUGCCUUCGCCUAGCCCUAAAGCAUCAGGUACUAAGAACUGCACGAAGUCAGCGUCAGAAUGUUUUAAAUUUUAAAGCAAGAGGAAAACCCAAGAGUAGCCUGAACCAAUUUAGCCAGCCCAUAAACCCGAAUUGACGAAUUAGUCACGUCACUUGAGAAUGAAAUUAAGUUUUGAUCCCUUUGAGAUCUUAGCGCAGUCAGGCUGCUAUCACUGCAAGAGGAAUCUGACCCUGGCUCGAGAAAAACUACUUGUCGAACUCGUGCCCUUUCAGCCCACCAUGGGGGGGCCGCGCCAGUCGGGUCGGGCGAAGAGCUAGUUUGGGGGCGCAGCCGGGCCAGGCGGGGGCGGCGAGCGCGCGUCCCCCCGCCCGCUCCGGCGGCGUCGAGGCGCGAGCAGCUCAGCCAGCCUUGCAGAGGGAGCUCUCGGCAGCUCUGGGGUCCCUCUGCUCGCAGCCGCAGCAGCGCCGCCUGCGCCACUCGGUGGAGACGGAGACCAGCGGCGGCGACGUGCGGACUGGGAGCGACCGCCGAGCAGCCAGGCGGCGGAGGACACUCGCAAGGCGCGGCUGCUCCAUGUCAGCAUUUACUGAGGAUCCAUACACCCUGAGUAUCUUCAGAGAUAAGUGAGACUUGACCAUGGACAUCACUCAAACUGACCAUCACCCCGUUGCAGCCUUCUGAAACAAGGUCAGUGACAGUCUUAUUUUCCAAAUGAUAGAUGGUCUCACUUAGCAGUUUGUAUAGGCCUGGGAAUCCUUCCCAAGCUCACCCUUCUAUGUUACCUAUGCCCAGAAGAGCCAGGUCUGGCAGCUAAGCCAAGAGCUUUCUGUCCACAUGUGAGGGAUAGCCUGAAGAGAGCACUUCAGGGCUGUUGGGGGUUGGGGGAGCAUGUCAAACGCCAAGGGUUCAGCAAAUUGUACCCGUACGCUAGGCAGAAGCACACAAGGAAGGCACCCCCGCUCUGUGGGUGAGACAAAGAAGCGGCUCCCUUCCCACGUGCCAACCCAUCUGCUUCUUUGCCUUUACCAACAUGCCUUUUUUUUGUUUUCCUUUCUUCUUUUUUUGGUUCUCUGCAGCUCUGAAUACAUGGGGAAGAAGAAUGAGAGACUGGAGGAAUGGUAAGGUUGGAAGAGGGCAAAAGAGAGGAGGGGAGUGAGGGGAGCCUCCAGUGACCACCAACGCAAUAAACUAUCCUGGACUA